CACAUCUAUGCCCUCUUGUGGCUGUCAUGUAAAUCAAAGAGCACUUCUAUCCGUGCAAGGAAGAGGGAUGUUUUCUUUGCUCUUUAUGGGGUGAAGAAGAUCCUUGCAUUAACUCCAGAACUUUUCAUCUCUCUCUCUCUCUCUCUCUGUCACUCUCUCGCAUUUUGAAGACAAACUGUGCAAGUUUCAUCCUUAAGAUAUUUGGAAUCGAAAAGGUGUGGUGUGCAAAUUCCUGGAUCCUAAUCAAUUUCAUCAUCUUGAAACCGGACAGACAUGAACAUUAUUUUGAAAGGUGUCCAACGUUUCAAAAGCCGGAUACCAAACAGGAAACUACAAAUGUGUUUAACACAACCACAUCUUACUGACAAAAAUCAAUCUAUUUUUGUUUGGAUUCCUGAAGAUUUCAGCCUCUGCGUGCGAUGAUAAAUCUAUCACAGUAGGCAUUGAUGGACUGCCUUUUACAAUUGUGAAGAUGAUGGAUUGAAAGGAUACUUUGGAAGAGCAGGAACAAAGAGGGGAAGAAAUAAAAUGGAUUGGAUGUUUGUGCAAAGCUGCAAGUGGAAUUGGGUAGAAGGAGAUAUGAGACAGAAGAAAUAAAGCUGGGGUGAACUGCGAGGGGAAAUGUGAAGGCCUAUGAUACCAAAACCAUCAAAAUGAUUCCAGUUUUCUCUUUUAUUUCAACUGCCUCCUUCCCAGCUCAUAAACAAAGCCAAGCUGGGAAGAUUGCAAAUGGGAAUCACGUGACCCCAGGACAAUCCAACUGUCAUAAAGGCAUGCCAAAUUUUGAUCAUGUGACCCUGAGGUCACA